GAUGAAGAACGCAGCGAAAUGCGAUAAGUAAUGUGAAUUGCAGAAUUCAGUGAACCAUCGAAUCUUUGAACGCACAUUGCGCCCGCCAGUAUUCUGGCGGGCAUGCCUGUCCGAGCGUCAUCUCAACCCUCGAGCCCCCCCGGGGGCUCGGCGUUGGGGACCGGCCCCGCCCCAGGGCGCGCCGCCCCCCAAAUCCAGUGGCGGUCUCGCUGUAGCCUCCCCUGCGUAGUAGCACACCUCGCACCGGAGCGCGGCGCGGCCACGCCGUUAAACCCCCCAUAUUUCUGAAUGUUGACCUCGGAUCAGGUAGGAAUACCCGCUGAACUUAAGCAUAUCAAUAAGCGGAGGA
rnacentral:misc_RNA from 1 species